rnacentral:rRNA from 1 species
GAUGAACGCUGGCGGCGUGCCUAAUACAUGCAAGUCGAGCGAACAGAUGAGGAGCUUGCUCCUCUGACGUUAGCGGCGGACGGGUGAGUAACACGUGGAUAACCUACCUAUAAGACUGGGAUAACUUCGGGAAACCGGAGCUAAUACCGGAUAAUAUAUUGAACCGCAUGGUUCAAUAGUGAAAGACGGUUUUGCUGUCACUUAUAGAUGGAUCCGCGCCGCAUUAGCUAGUUGGUAAGGUAACGGCUUCCCAAGGCAACGAUGCGUAGCCGACGUGAGAGGGUGAUCGGCCACCCUGGAAGGGAGACACGGUCCAGACGCCUACGGGAGGGAGCAGUAGGGAAUCUGCCGCAAUGGGCGAAAGCCUGACGGAGCAACGCCGAGUGAGUGAUGAAGGUCUCCGGAUAGUAAAACUCGGCUAUUAGGGAAGAACAAAUGUGUAAGUAACUAUGCACGUAGUGACGGUACCUAAACAGAAAGCCACGGCUAACUACGUG